rnacentral:rRNA from 1 species
CCUACGGGAGGCUGCAGUGGGGAAUAUUGCACAAUGGGGGAAACCCUGAUGCAGCGACGCCGCGUGAGCGAAGAAGUAUUUCGGUAUGUAAAGCUCUAUCAGCAGUGAAGAAACUGACGGUACCUGACUAAGAAGCACCGGCUAAAUACGUGCCAGCAGCCGCGGUAAUACGUAUGGUGCAAGCGUUAUCCGGAUUUACUGGGUGUAAAGGGAGCGUAGACGGAUAGGCAAGUCUGGAGUGAAAGCCCGGGGCUCAACCCCGGGACUGCUUUGGAAACUGUUUAUCUAGAGUGCUGGAGAGGUAAGUGGAAUUCCUAGUGUAGCGGUGAAAUGCGUAGAUAUUAGGAGGAACACCAGUGGCGAAGGCGGCUUACUGGACGGUGACUGACGUUGAGGCUCGAAAGCGUGGGGAGCAAACAGGAUUAGAUACCCGUGUAGUC